CACGUAGGGCGCAAGCGUUGUCCGGAAUUAUUGGGCGUAAAGAGCGUGUAGGCGGUUUGGUAGGUCCGCUGUGAAAACUCGAGGCUCAACCUCGAGACGCCGGUGGAAACCAUCAGACUAGAGUCCGGAAGAGGAGAGUGGAAUUCCUGGUGUAGCGGUGAAUGACGCAGAUAUCAGGAAGAACACCCGUGGCUAAGGCGGCUCUCUAGUACGGUACUGACGCUGAGACGCGAAAGCGUGGGGAGCGAACAGG
rnacentral:rRNA from 1 species